GAGUUUGAUCAUGGCUCAGAACGUACGCUGGCGGCACGCCUAACACAUGCAAGUCGAACGCAGUAGCAAUACUGAGUGGCAAACGGGUGAGUAUAAUGUGGGAAUCUGCCUUUUGGUUUGGAAUAACACGGGGAAACUUGUGCUAAUACCGAAUAAGCCCUUACGGGGAAAGUUUUAACGCCGAAAGAUGAGCCCGCACUUGAUUAGCUAGUUGGUAAGGUAAAAGCUUACCAAGGCAAUGAUCAAUAGCUGUUCUUAGAGGAAGACCAGCCACAUUGGGACUGAGACACGGCCCAGACUCCUACGGGAGGCAGCAGUGGGGAAUCUUGCACAAUGGGGGAAACCCUGAUGCAGCGAUGCCGCGUGAGUGAAGAAGGCCUUUGGGUUGUAAAACUCUUUCGUCGGGGAAGAAAAUGACUGUACCCGAAUAAGAAGGUCCGGCUAACUUCGUGCCAGCAGCCGCGGUAAUACGAAGGGACCUAGCGUAGUUCGGAAUUACUGGGCUUAAAGAGCUCGUAGGUGGUUAAAAAAGUUGAUGGUGAAAUCCCAAGGCUCAACCUUGGGACUGCCGUCAAAACUUUUUAGCUAGAGUGUGAUAGAGGUAAGUGGAAUUUCUAGUGUAGAAGUGAAAUUCGUAGAUAUAGAAAGAACACACAUGGGAUGGCAGGUAACUGAGGGGUCACUACUGACACUGAGGGCGAAAGCAUGGGAGCGAAGAGGAUUAGAACCCUCGUAGUCCAUGCCGUAACGAUGUGUGCUAGACGUUGGAANUAUAUUNNUCAGUGUCGCAGCGAAAGCAUUAAGCACACCGCCUGGGGAGUACGACCGCAAGGUUAAAACUCAAAUGAAUUGACGGGGACCCGCACAAGCAGUGGAGCAUGUGGUUUAAUUCGAAGAUACGCGCAGAACCUUACCAACACUUGACAUGUUCGUCGCGAGCCUAAGAGAUUAGGCUUUUCAGUUCGGCUGGACGAAACACAGGUGCUGCAUGGCUGUCGUCAGCUCGUGUCGUGAGAUGUUGGGUUAAGUCCCGCAACGAGCGCAACCCCCACUUUUAGUUGCCACCAUUUAGUUGGGCACUUUAAAAGAACUGCCAGUGAUAAGCUGGAGGAAGGUGGGGAUGACGUCAAGUCCUCAUGGCCCUUAUGUGUUGGGCUACACACGUGCUACAAUGGCACUUACAAUGGGAAGCAAAGAGGCGACUCCUAGCUAAUCCCAAAAAUGUGUCUCAGUUCGGAUUGUACUCUGUAACUCGAGUGCAUGAAGCUGGAAUUGCUAGUAAUCGCGGAUCAGCGCGCCGCGGUGAAUACGUUCCCGGGUCUUGUACACACCGCCCGUCACACCAUGGAAGUUGGUUACACCUUAAGGCAAAGCUUAUACCUUUGACUACGGUACGAUCAGCAACUGGGGUGAAGUCGUAACAAGGUAACC
rnacentral:rRNA from 1 species